GUGUUUGAUUCAUCGACCGCAGCGGUCCGCCGCCCGGGGGGUGCGGUGCUUCCACGGUUCUCUCUGCCCAGCACGACCCCGCCCCGCCGCGGCGUCCGGGUCGAAAACAUCGAGCUCACGAGAGUCCAGAGCAGCGCGCGCCACAGGAUUGACUGACAGCUCGGGCGUCCAAUGAGGUGACACGGUGGACUCCUGCAGUCGGGGCGCGUUCCCGCUGAAAGGGUAGCGUGUCUGUGCGUGUGGUUGUGCGUGUGCGCGGUCACGCGGUCAGGGCGCGGCCCGUCCCGUUCUGCGCAGGAAGAAAGAGAAAUGACGUCACUUAAACUGACCCGUUUCCUGUCAGAUAAACAAACAGGUAACGUAUUGUGGUGCAACCUCCUGUUUACACCAUCACUUCAGUCCGUGACGUUCAGGACUCAAGUCGUCUGGGGGAGGGGCCUCGGUUUGGUCUCCUCCUGCAGGUACAAGUGUGUGGUGGGGGGCGGGGCCACACUCCACCACGUCGACUCCGGGUGUUGAAGCGGUUCUGUUCAGGCCCCAGAGGGGCGGAUCCAUCAGUGACCUUUGACGACCUGUGGUGCACGCUCAGGAGGCGGGGCUGAGACGUCAUGAUUGACAGCUGAGACGGACCGAGUUGGAUUGUACAGUAACAAAUAGAAACAUGUGAAUUCAUGUUCACUGAGAAUCAUUUAUAGAUCAUAUUGAAAACAAUCACAUUCACUGACUUGUCGUCGUUGUUGGUUUGAGUUCGACUGACGCCUCAAAUUUUGAGGUUAUUGAUCCAUAGAACUGUAGUUUUACAGAUGAAUCUUCUGUCUGAUCAAUAAAAUUUUUCUUUUUUUCUC